rnacentral:rRNA from 1 species
GAUGAACGCUGGCGGCGUGCCUAAUACAUGCAAGUCGAGCGAACGGACGAGGAGCUUGCUUCUCUGAUGUUAGGGGCGGAGGGGUGAGAAACGCGUGGAUACCCUACUUAUAUGUCUGGGAUAAUUUCGGAAAACCGGAGCAAACCCCGUAGAAGCUUUUGAACCGUGGGGUUCAAAGGUAAAAUACGGCCUUUGGGUCACUAAUAGAGGCUUCCGCGCUGCAUUAGGUAGUUGGUAAGGUAACGGCUUACCAAGGCAAGGAUGCAUAGCCGACCUGAGGGGGUGAUCGGCCACACUGGAACUGAGACACGGUCCAGACUCCUACGGGAGGCAGCAGUAGGGAAUCUUCCGCAAUGGGCGAAAGCCUGACGGAGCAACGCCGCGUGAGUGAUGAAGGUCUUCGGAUCGUAAAACUCUGUUAUUAGGGAAGAACAUAUGUGUAAGUAACUGUGCACAUCUUGACGGUACCUAAUCAGAAAGCCACGGCUAACUACGUG